UUAUUCUUGUUCUUUAUGAGUACCUCAACUAGCUAAUUAAGGACUGACUUCUGUUUCUCCUUUCCAGGAAUGCAUUUAUUCCUGCACCAUUGCACAGUCAAAAUUUGUAAGUUGAACCAUCGUAAAUUGGGGGACUGUAUGCUGUUGCCUGCAUUAAAUGCAUCUUAGUAUUUUUUCAGAUGUAACCUCAUUGUAGGUUGAGCACCCGUAUAGUGUAACUUUUGUAGAGGAACAUUUUGACUUUUACUGGGUCUAAGUUUUACUUUUUUGUUUCAGACAGUCUGAAUGUUUGUAAAGUCUAGGUUCUAGAUGUAAGAUAUUUGGCUGAUAAUUUUUUUAGUGUUAGCCAUUAAUUACAGACUUAUAUAUUCUGUUAAAUCUACUAGAGCAAGGGCUGUCAAACUAUGGCCCGUAGCCAGAAUCAGCUUGCUGCCUGUUUUUGUGUGGCCCAUGAACUGAAAAUGGCUUUUAAAUGGUUGGGAAAAAUAAUCAAAAGAUUAUUUCCUGACAUCUGAAAAUUACAUGAAAUUCAAAUUUUAGUGUCUAUAAGUUUUUAUUGGAAUGCAGCCUCAAUCAUUUACAUAUUAUCUAUGGAUACUUUUUUGCUAUAAUGGGAAAGUUGAGUAGCUGCUACAGAACCUGUGUAUGUGUGUCUUGUUUCACAUUGCCGCUUGGCAAGCUACAGAAUCAUGGUGAUGCAGAUAUUACCUGAAAGCAUUUGGAAUGCCCUGUGUAUUGCUAGAUUUAUUACUUUUUCUGCUACCAGUUCAUGCCCUGUAUCUCAGAACAAGAAAAGUACCUUUGAAUGUUACACUUUCAAGGCACACUGGAAUAUGGACUAUUUUAUUAUAUGGUGGUACAUUGUGUUUAUAAUGCAGUGUCACCAUAACUGGUAAAAGAAUAGACUGACAGUAUCAGACUAACAUCACAAUAUUCCCAACUCGUGGGAAAGCAACAGUCAGAAGAAUUAGAAAAUUUAAAUGAAACAUCACAGCAACAUUUCACAAAAGUAAUAAAAAUGAGGCUGCAACCAAAAUGUUUACAAGUAGCCUAUUUGUUAGCCAAGCAAAGAAAACCAUUUACUAAUGCUGAAUUACCUCGUGCUUGAAGAUAGUAACCAACCCAAAGACGUGUCCAGAGAAAAUUAAGACAUCAGCCCUUUGAUGAGAACAGUAGUUUGAAGAAUGAGGAUUUUGGACACAACAUCAAAUGACACUUAAUUCUUUGCCUCGUAUUAGUCAGUACUGCCUAGCUUUAGUUGUUGCUGGAUUUGAAGUGACCAAAGAAUUUGUAUGGAACUACAAGUGGGAAUAUUUUCAAAAAAGUUUAUAAACAGUACAACCUGAAGUGGAAUCUACUAAGAUGUGAUGCAACCGAUGCUGGGAAAAAUGCAUGGAGCAGAAAAAAAGUUUAUUUGGUCAAAUUUUAAAGCUUGUGAAAACAUAAGUUGUUUAAAGCCUGUAGUUACUCACUUGAUUAUUCAUCAGCAGGUACUUCACAGGAAAUAUUGGUGUUACUGAACUGGUCAACAGUUAACUUCAUUUGCUCUUGUGGACUCAACCAUCUUCAGUUCCAUGAUUUUUUUGUGAGAAACAGAAGCUGAAUAUCCUGAUAUGAUUUGCCACACAGGCGUUCAAUGGCUUAGCAGUGCUAAAGAUUUAUUUUUAUUUUUUGGGCUCUGGGCUGACAUCAUUGAAAUUUUUCUGAAUGAGAAAAACCAUCCUCAACCACUGUUUCUUAACACUGAGUAACUUUGGAAAUUAACUUUUGCCACAGACUUGAAAAUGUUUCUUAAUGAAUUUGACCUGAAAUUACAAGGUACAACAACAUAAUAUGGUAAAUUCAUUUCAAUAAAAACUAACACUUAAGAUUGUCACGCUGCUUUAUAUACUUUCUGUGCUAUGAGAAGUCAAAACAGCGCUGUAUUGCCAAAUCCAUUUUUAGUGGAUAUAUUUUCCUGUAGCAGUUUUUUGGACCUUGAUGCAGUGCAAAGAAAAUUUUUAAAUUUUAAAAGCAUUUAACUGCAAUUAAAUGCUUUUAAAGUUUCCUCUUAAUCUUCUGUUGGAAAUGAAUCAUCUUGAAUGAAUGACAUGCUAAAGGGCAAAUACCAAAAAGAUGAAUCCUACAAAUGCCUUACAAGUGAUGAAUAAUUUGCUUA
rnacentral:lncRNA from 1 species